rnacentral:rRNA from 1 species
GCCCAGAGUUUGAUCCUGGCUCAGAACGAACGCUGGCGGCAGGCCUAACACAUGCAAGUCGAGCGAAGUCUUCGGACUUAGCGGCGGACGGGUGAGUAACGCGUGGGAACGUGCCCUUUGGUACGGGAUAGCCCCGGGAAACUGGGCGUAAUACCGUAUGGUGUCCUCGGACUAAAGAUUUAUCGCCAAGGGAUCGGCCCGCGUUGGAUUAGGUAGUUGGUGGGGUAAUGGCCUACCAAGCCGACGAUCCAUAGCUGGUUUGAGAGGAUGAUCAGCCACACUGGGACUGAGACACGGCCCAGACUCCUACGGGAGGCAGCAGUGGGGAAUCUUGGACAAUGGGGGAAACCCUGAUCCAGCCAUGCCGCGUGAGCGAUGAAGGCCUUAGGGUUGUAAAGCUCUUUCGCUGGGGAAGAUAAUGACGGUACCCAGUAAAGAAGCCCCGGCUAACUCCGUGCCAGCAGCCCGCGGUAAUUCGGCUUAGAAGCGGCCG